CAAUGUGUAAACACAUGUAUAUGCAUAAGUUGCAUAAGUUGCACAAAUCACAACGUCGUGUGGACAUGAAAUCGAAUGUAAACCCUGGAAUUCCCCGACCUUACUUGAGAAUUGCACAAGAAAUCUUCUUCGGUUUUCAAUAGCCAGAUAAGUAUUAGCCAGAGAAACAGUGUUCUUGCGGUCAGAAAAUUUGGUGCCAUGGACCUGUUCGCAGAAAUUAAUUGGGAUGUAUGGGGCCCCGUCACCGCCUGUAUCAUCUCAGCGGUGAUCAUUGCUGUCGUGGUGAUAUACUGCUGCUGUUGUAGAGAAAAGAAAGCAGUAAUUGUACGAUCCGACAACACCUGUUCUACACCUGACAGUGUAUAUGUACAUCGACUCCCAAAAGAAUUACAUGUUUAUACAGUCGGUGACAAAUUUAUGAACAAGCAUGUUGCGAUGACUUGGGAAAUGCCGUCGAAGAACAGAAAGCAAUUCGCGUACACGAAAGCCAACGGAACGUACACCCGUCUACCAGAUGAAUAUUCCAUAAUACUAGUUGAUGAUCUGGAACAAUUCCGUAACCAAAUUGUUGCUGAGGCAAGACGAAACGCUUUUGGGCAAAGUCCGUUUAUCACGAAUAGAGCAUUUAAAGUUGUACACUUCGUUUUGAAUGGCGAUCGUUUCAAUUUUGACGAAGAAGGUCAAGCAAGACUUGUAUUGCAAUGCAAUGAGUAUGAUGAGAUUUGCCACCUUGAUGGUGUUGAGUUUUUGUACUGAGUGUAUAAACACGCUCAUUUGGUGACAAUUCGGACCAGAACCAUAGAAAUGGACAUUGAAUCUCCCAAUUGCUGCUGUCACUGAAUUGUAAUUUUUAAAUUGGAAUCGUCAUUUUCGGUUUGGCUUAUUAUUGUACAUGUGCAUCAUGUCAAAGCCGAUAUAGCUUUGAACUCAUUCUCCUGUGUGUCUGUGUAAUAACUGAAAUUGUAAUUUACGCUUAUCCGCCAUUACUGUAAUAGUCUGUGUAUUGUACAUGUUCAUAACCGUGUAAUAGCAAAAUACAAAUGUACAUUGUAACUUACACUUAUCUUCACCGACUGGUAAUGGUCUCGGUAUUGUAUAUAUAUGUGUAAUUACAAAAUACAUUGUAAUUUACACUUAUCUUCACCGACUGGUAAUGGUCUCGGUAUUGUACAUAUCCGUGUGAUAAUAAGAUUUUAAUUCACACUUACCUUCACCGACUGGUAAUGGUAUCUGUAUUGUAUAUAUCUGUUUUAUUUUUUGUCAUUGGAAUUCAGUGUGUGAGACUCCAUAAAAUCCAUUUGUAGGGCCCAUACUAUCAUGUAUGUACGAGACAAGGAUUCGUCGAAUCUGUCCCA